AUUAAAGGUGUGCCACCAGGACUCCAAUGUCUGCUGCAGACAAACCAGCUUUCCAUACAGGAGAAAUUCUCAGUGUCACAAGGCUGGGGGAGGCUCUUUGACGUUCUCGAUGUGAUGGGCCAGCGACUGUAUCAGGCCACUCAGUCUGUGCAGUUCUGCGGGCCCCUCUAUGAU